AAUGAACGCUGGCGGCAUGCCUAACACAUGCAAGUCGAACGAAGUCUUCGGACUUAGUGGCGCACGGGUGCGUAACGCGUGGGAAUCUGCCCUUGGGUACGGAAUAACUCAGAGAAAUUUGUGCUAAUACCGUAUAAUGUCUUCGGACCAAAGAUUUAUCGCCCAAGGAUGAGCCCGCGUAGGAUUAGGUAGUUGGUGAGGUAAAAGCUCACCAAGCCGACGAUCCUUUAGCUGGUCUGAGAGGAUGAUCAGCCACACUGGGACUGAGACACGGCCCAGACUCCUACGGGAGGCAGCAGUGGGGAAUAUUGGACAAUGGGCGCAAGCCUGAUCCAGCAAUGCCGCGUGAGUGAUGAAGGCCUUAGGGUUGUAAAGCUCUUUUACCCGGGAUGAUAAUGACAGUACCGGGAGAAUAAGCUCCGGCUAACUUCGUG
rnacentral:rRNA from 1 species